rnacentral:rRNA from 12 species
CGAAAUCUAUUUAGGUAGAGCGUUAGAUGAAUACCAUCGGGGGUAGAGCACUGGAUGGGCUAGGGGGUCUCACCGACUUACCAAACCUAACCAAACUCCGAAUACCGAUGAGUAAUAUCUGGCAGACACACUACGGGUGCUAAGGUCCGUAGUGGAAAGGGAAACAGCCCUGACCGCCAGCUAAGGUCCCUAAGUUAUGGCUAAGUGGGAAAGGAUGUGAGAGUGCAUAGACAACCAGGAUGUUGGCUUAGAAGCAGCCAUCAUUUAAAGAAAGCGUAAUAGCUCACUAGUCGAGUCGGCCUGCGCGGAAGAUGUAACGGGGCUAAGCAAUAUACCGAAGCUGCGGCAGCAAGUUUACUUGCUGGGUAGGGGAGCGUUGUGUAAGUGGAUGAAGGUGAGUUGUAAAGCUUGCUGGACAUAUCACAAGUGCGAAUGCUGACAUGAGUAACGACAAUG